CCUACGGGUGGCUGCAGUGGGGAAUAUUGGACAAUGGGCGAAAGCCUGAUCCAGCCAUGCCGCGUGUGUGAAGAAGGCCUUCGGGUUGUAAAGCACUUUCAGUGGGGAAGAAAGCCUUGGGGCUAAUACCCUCGAGGAAGGACAUCACCCACAGAAGAAGCACCGGCUAACUCCGUGCCAGCAGCCGCGGUAAUACGGAGGGGGCGAGCGUUAAUCGGAAUUACUGGGCGUAAAGCGCGCGUAGGCGGUCUGAUAAGCCGGUUGUGAAAGCCCCGGGCUCAACCUGGGAACGGCAUCCGGAACUGUCAGGCUAGAGUGCAGGAGAGGAAGGUAGAAUUCCCGGUGUAGCGGUGAAAUGCGUAGAGAUCGGGAGGAAUACCAGUGGCGAAGGCGGCCUUCUGGACUGACACUGACGCUGAGGUGCGAAAGCGUGGGUAGCAAACAGGAUUAGAUACCCCAGUAGUC
rnacentral:rRNA from 1 species